AUUGAACGCUGGCGGCAGGCCUAACACAUGCAAGUCGAGCGAGCGGCGGACGGGUGAGUAAUGUCUGGGAACCUGCCUGAUGGAGGGGGAUAACUACUGGAAACGGUGGCUAAUACCGCAUACCAUCGGAUGUGCCCAGAUGGGAUUAGCUAGUAGGUGGGGUAAAGGCUCACCUAGGCGACGAUCCCUAGCUGGUCUGAGAGGAUGACCAGCCACACUGGAACUGAGACACGGUCCAGACUCCUACGGGAGGCAGCAGUGGGGAAUAUUGCACAAUGGGCGCAAGCCUGAUGCAGCCAUGCCGCGUGUAUGAAGAAGGCCUUAGGGUUGUAAAGUACUUUCAGCGGGGAGGCGUUACCCGCAGAAGAAGCACCGGCUAACUCCGUGCCAGCCGCCGCGGUAAUAC
rnacentral:rRNA from 1 species